rnacentral:rRNA from 1 species
UCGGGAAUUUUGGGCAAUGGGCGAAAGCCUGACCCAGCAACGCCGCGUGAAGGAUGAAGUAUUUCGGUAUGUAAACUUCGAAAGAAUAGGAAGAAUAAAUGACGGUACUAUUUAUAAGGUCCGGCUAACUACGUGCCAGCAGCCGCGGUAAUACGUAGGGACCAAGCGUUGUUCGGAUUUACUGGGCGUAAAGGGCGCGUAGGCGGCAAUUCAAGUCAUCUGUGAAAUCUCCGGGCUUAACUCGGAACGGUCAGAUGAUACUGCUUUGCUAGAGUGCAGAAGGGGCAAUCGGAAUUCUUGGUGUAGCGGUGAAAUGCGUAGAUAUCAAGAGGAACACCUGAGGUGAAGACGGGUUGCUGGGCUGACACUGACGCUGAUGCACGAAGGCCAGGGUAGCGAACGGGAUUAGAUACCCUUGUAGUCCCUGAGCGGGCUGGCAAGGCGCAU